CGGAACUUCUCCAGAACCUCCAGAACUUCUCCAGAACCACCAGGAACCUCCAGAACCGCUGCCAGGACCCCUCUGGAUCCAUCCCACGGCCUCCAGAACCUCCAGAACUUCUCCAGAACCUCCGGAACUUCUCCCAGGACCCCUCUGGAUCCAUCCCAAAGCUUCCAGAACCAUCCAGAACCAUCAGGAACCUCUGGAACUUCUCCCAGGACCCCUCUGGAUCCAUCCCACGGCCUCCAGAACCUUCGGAACUUCUCCAGAACCUCCGGAACUUCUCCCAGGACCCCUCUGGAUCCAUCCCAAAGCUUCCAGAACCAUCCAGAACCAUCAGGAACCUCCAGAACUUCUCCAGAACCUCUGGAAUUUCUCCCAGGACCUCUCUGGAUCCAUCCCAUGGCCUCCAGAACCUCCAGAACUUCUCCAGAACCUCCAGAACUUCUCCAGAACCUCCGGAACUUCUCCAGAACCAUCAGGAACCUUCGGAACUUCUCCCAGGACCCCUCUGGAUCCACCCCAAGGCUUCCAGAACCAUCCAGAAGCGGGGGAAGCUCCGGAGCCGCUCCAGGGACUCGUCCGGAGCUCUCCCGGCGUCUCCGGGUGGGAUUUUAAGCUUCACUCGCGUCUAUUUUUAAGCUCAGAUGGUUUCAAAGAUAUUUUUUUAAAAUCCUUGUCCACGGAAAACCUUCGGGAAUUUUUUCCUUUGGGAAUUUUUUCCUUCGGGAAUUUUUUUGGGAAUUUUUUAUUCUUUGGGGAAUUUUUUUCUUUGGGAAUUUUUUUCUUUGGGAAUUUUUUAUUCUUUGGGAAUUUUUUUUUUCCUUUGGGAAUUUUUUAUUCUUUGGGAAUUUUUUUUUUCCUUUGGGAAUUUUUUUCUUCUUUGGGAAUUUUGGAUCUUCCUCCCCUCCCCUGGAGUUUGUGAAUCCCAAAAUGGGAUUUUUUAUUUUUAUUUUUUAUUUUUAUUUGAUAUUUAUUUGAUAUUUAUUUAUUUUUAUUUUAUUUGAUAUUUAUUUUUAUUUGAUAUUUAUUUUUAUUUGAUAUUUAUUUAUUUUAAUUUUUAUUUUAUAUUUAUUUUUAUUUAAUAUUUAUUUUUGUUUGAUAUUUAUUUUUAUUUGAUAUUUAUUUUUAUUUGAUAUUUAUUUUUAAUUGAUAUUUAUUUUUAAUUGAUAUUUAUUUUUA
rnacentral:lncRNA from 1 species